rnacentral:rRNA from 1 species
UACAGAGGGUGCGAGCGUUAUUCGGAAUUACUGGGCGUAAAGCGCGCGUAGGCGGCUUUGCAAGUCGGGUGUGAAAUCCCCAGGCUUAACCUGGGAACUGCAUUCGAGACUGCAUUGCUAGAGUAUGGGAGAGGGAAGUGGAAUUUCCGGUGUAGCGGUGAAAUGCGUAGAUAUCGGAAGGAACAUCAGUGGCGAAAGCGACUUCCUGGACCAAUACUGGCGCUCAUGUGCGAAAGCGUGGGGAGCAAACAGG